GACGAACGCUGGCGGCGCGCUUAACACAUGCAAGUCGAACGGAAAGGCCUGCUUUCCCUUGUGGAUUGCGGGUACUCGAGUGGCGAACGGGUGAGUAACACGUGAGUGAUCUGCCCCCAACUUGGGUAUAAGCCUGGGAAACUGGGUCUAAUUCCCGAUAGGACUGCAGGGUGGUGCCUGUGGUGGAAAACGAUUUUCUAGUGGUUGGGGAUGAGCUCGCGGCCUAUCAGCUUGUUGGUGGGGUAAUGGCCUACCAAGGCGGCGACGGGUAGCCGGCCUGAGAGGGUGGACGACCACAUUGGGACUGAGAUACGGCCCAGACUCCUACGGGAGGCAGCAGUGGGGAAUAUUGCACAAUGGGCGGAAGCCUGAUGCAGCGACGCCGCGUGGGGGAUGACGGCCUUCGGGUUGUAAACUCCUUUCGACCGCGAGGAAGCCACCUGGUUGGAAGGGUGGUGACGGUAGUGGUAGAAGAAGCACCGGCUAACUACGUG
rnacentral:rRNA from 1 species